rnacentral:rRNA from 1 species
CCUACGGGUGGCAGCAGUGAGGGAUAUUGGUCAAUGGGGGAAACCCUGAACCAGCAACGCCGCGUGAGGGAAGACGGUUUUCGGAUUGUAAACCUCUGUCCUCUGUGAAGAUAAUGACGGUAGCAGAGGAGGAAGCUCCGGCUAACUACGUGCCAGCAGCCGCGGUAAUACGUAGGGAGCAAGCGUUGUCCGGAUUUACUGGGUGUAACGGGUGCGUAGGCGGCUUUGCAAGUCAGAAGUGACAUCCAUGGGCUUAACCCAUGAACUUCUUUUGAAACUGCAGAGCUUGAGUGGAGUAGAGGUAGGCGGAAUUCCCGGUGGAGCGGUGAAAUGCGGAGAGAUCGGGAGGAACACCAGUGGCGAAGGCGGCCUACUGGGCUCUAACUGACGCUGAGGCACGAAAGCGUGGGUAGCAAACAGGAUUAGAUACCCUAGUAGUC